CAGGUUAUCUCCGUGAAGUCUUCACUUCCAGCUAAUAAGGUGGAUGUGAUUGUCACCCCUGUAUGACCCCCGAGGAAGCUGAGGGUCGGAGAAUUGCAUACAGGGACCCCCGAGUCGAGGAGCCCCGUGGAAGCCAUUUGUUAAGGCAGAGUUCGAUGGCGGGGAGCUGGAUGAGCAAAUACAGGCUCCACGAGGCAAAGUGACUUACCCAAGGUCACACAGCUGCCAACUGCUUGUUGGCCAGGACUCAAGCUCACACCUGGGGGUUACCCACCUGCCUACGCUUACAGGAUGCUCCCAACUAAGGCAGAACUGUGGUGGGGAUGGCAGACCCUUGAGGAAUCGUGUGGAAUGUUUCACCUGCUUCUAAUCCUAAGUGCAGCUUUCUGAAGCGAGAGCCCUUAUUAUCCCAGUUUCACUGAGAAACCAGGACUUCGAGAGCUGCCAUCACUCAGCCAGGUCACCCAGAGGGUCUAACAGAAUAACCCAGGACUGAAGUUCAGAUGCUUCAGGAGGCUUUCACUUCUUGCAGCCUUGGUUUCCCCAUCUGCAAAGUAGGGCAACUCAUACCCACCACCCUGUUUGUGUGUGUCGGGAAGAACUCAGCAGGAUGGAUGAGGGUCUUGGGGGAGGGGGCACAGCUCAGAGUUCCUGUCAGAGUCGCCUCAGCUCUCAGGUCCUUCUGCUGUUGGGUUGGCUUGGCUGCUCUGUUCUGCUGACCUGCCAUGGAAAGAGGAGCAUGCCUGGGGAGCUUCUCCUUCAGCCUGGCUCCUGAAGACAUGUGAGCAGGCUUGAACUUGACCUGAAGCCUCAAGAGAAGACUUACUUAAGCAGACCUAGACCUACAGACCCAGAAGCAUGAGAAUAAAUCCUAG